UGCGAAGGGGGCUAGCGUUGCUCGGAAUCACUGGGCGUAAAGCGCACGUAGGCGGAUUGCUAAGUCAGGGGUGAAAUCCUGGAGCUCAACUCCAGAACUGCCUUUGAUACUGGCGAUCUUGAGUCCGGGAGAGGUGAGUGGAACUGCGAGUGUAGAGGUGAAAUUCGUAGAUAUUCGCAAGAACACCAGUGGCGAAGGCGGCUCACUGGCCCGGUACUGACGCUGAGGUGCGAAAGCGUGGGGAGCAAACAGG
rnacentral:rRNA from 1 species